rnacentral:tRNA from 1 species
CCUUAGCUCAGCGGUAGAGCAGUGGACUGAAAAUCCGCGUGUCCCUGGUUCGAUUCCCGGAG